UUGCAGCUUUCCUAACUGGAAUUAGGACUGUAAUUACUCCUGGUGGUUUUUGUGACCCAGAAGAUUCAAGAAAAUUUGAAGCUGUAGGAUCUUUGGAAGCCAAAAGAAUCUUUGAGGGCUGCCAUGUAGAUGAAUCCUAUCAUCUUGAUUGGACCCCAAAUUUCUCACCAUGUGCCUCUUAACUACAGUAUAUAUGGCUGCUUCUGAAGAUGGCACAAUUAAGAAGAUGACUAUUUUAAUUGAGGAGCUACUGAAUAAAGCUGUGAUUCUUUACUUUUGGGGAAGUUUUUUCUGUUUUUGUUUGUUUGUUUGUUUUUUGUUUGUUUGUUUUUGCUUCUGGACAUUUGCUUUCCUUUCAAUAAACCGCUGUUCCUCUGGAAUACAAAAGAAAGGAUUGUAAUGAUUCCUUAGGAUUUUCUACAUAAGAUCAUAUAAUCGAUC
rnacentral:lncRNA from 1 species